rnacentral:lncRNA from 1 species
UGCUAAUGAGAGCUGAAUUCAGAUUUUUCAAAGCUAAAAAAUUCAAGAAAAACUAAAAUGAUUGAAGAAAAAUUGAUGAAAAAUACUAUUCCAAUGAACUCUUGUUCUGAAAAUUUGAAGUUUUCUUUCAUUAUUAGAACAAUUUCUGAUUCCCUUUUGAGGUGUAAAAUAGUUUGAACUUGGGUAUUGGAAGAACUGGGUUGAUUUUGUUGGCCGAUUCAGUGUUUUUUAAGUUUUCUGGGUGGUUUACACUGUUCCAUUGCCGAAGUGGUUUUGAUCCAGGCUGCUUGCUGUUGUUUCUUGCUAAUCUUCUCAUUUCCCUUUUAUUUUUGCUCUCCAGGUACAUUCUCUUAAGCUCUACUUGAUGUAAGUUCUAUAGUGAAGAUGGAAGUAAAAGCUGAAAACAUGACAAUGAAUUUUGUGUUGAUUUAUUUACACUUUUCUUCAUGUUGUUGUUGUUGUUGUUGUGGUGGUGGUUGUUGUUGUUGUGGUUGUUGCUGUUGUUGGUGUUGUUGCUGUUGUUGUUGUUGUUGUUGCUGUUGCUGUUGUUGUUGUUGGUGGUGCUGUUGUUGUUGCUGCUGUUGCUGUUGGUGCUGCUGUUGUUAUUAUUGUUGUUGUUGUUGUUGUUGUUGCUGUUGUUGUUGCUGUUGUUGUUGUUGUUGUUGUUGUUGUUGUUGUUGUAUUUUUGGUCAUUUGAGACGUCAUGAGUUCUAGUAAGUGUUAUCUGAAUAGAUAAAUUCAUAUAAUUGUAAUUGAAUUGGGACUAUGGAAUUGUUGUUUGGGAGGACUCAAUCGUAUUAGAUGAAUCCUCGAUUUGUUUGGCUUUAGAUGAGUGAGGUGGUAGUAUAUUUGAAGGUGUUGUGAGCAGAAAUCGCGUUACUUUGCUUACAGAAUCAACACUUCACAUUUGGUCUGAAUGUUCGCUGUCAAUUGUUCUUUUAUUUUUUCAGUGCUUCUUCUUGCACUAGCACUAACAAUUUUCCACUGAAUAUGUUUGCAGACAAGGGUUAAUCUAUAUGUGGCGGUGAGAAAUAAAAGGGGAAAGUAGAGUCCUCCCUGGGUAGGGGAUAAGGAUAAAUUAAGUUAAUACCAGCAAUACGGAAAUCAAUUAGGCAAAUGAGGAAGGACAUUAGAGCUACAAAUAGAGCUACUUCCUACUCAGAGAGAAGUGACUAUGUACCCUCCCGGGAGGCCUCACAGGGUGACUCUGUACCAGCAUUUAAAAGGAAGCUAAUAAGUAGUUUGUACUUUCAGUAAGCAUGAUUAUGUAGUUAGUGUUUUCAAUGAUUUUUCAAUUUCUAAUGUGUCAAUGACUCUCAUAUGAAUGUGUUUAAGCCUG